GUUAGGAUCUCUGAUUGCAUUCAUGUGCUUAUUAUGGAAGAGAUAGUUGGAUCUUCAACUAUAAAGUGAUUGUCACAAUCAAAAGGACAUAUUACAAUUGCUUUUGUUCGAGUUUUGAAGUACUAUUCUGAAGGAGUUCUUGAGUUUUCUUUUGCUUCUCGAACUGCUGUCAAUCGGGUUGCCUCUGUGAACUCCUGCUAUACUACCAGUGCUGUGACUGUCCGAAGCACUAUUCGAAAGCUGAGAGAGCAGACUGAAAGCUGAGAGCAAUUUACAAUAUUCAUUUUAUUUUCAAAUUCUAUGCAUAAAUUUUGUUGCUUAUUUAAAAUUGUCACAUUAUUUUUGAAUAGUUUGAUGGAGAAUAGAACUUUAG